rnacentral:misc_RNA from 1 species
GUGGCUAGCUGGAUUUUAUGGGUUUGGGGCAUUUUAGCAGAAGGCAUGCACUGAAUUGGUAGGUGCAGAUUAUCAAGGUUGCAGCAUAAUAGGGGAAAGACUAAUGGGUGGCAUAUUGAGUCGGAGUAACCACAACUCUAAUGUGGGGGAUCUUAUUGAGGGCUCCCAAAGUGCAUCAUGCAAGAGACAAAGGACAUCAGAUAGCUUCUGGGAGCAUAGCCCACGAUUAAUUCCAAGCCUGCCUGAUGAAAUAUCUAUUCAAAUCCUCGCCAGACUUCCUAGAACACACCACUUAAAUGCAAAAUUAGUUUCGGCGAGCUGGAAAGCUGCUAUUAUGAGUCCAGAACUUUAUAGGUGUAGAAAAGAACUUGGAACAACCGAAGAGUGGCUCUAUCUUUUGACAAAGACUGAAGGUGAUAAGUUUUUGUGGUAUGCUUUUGAUCCGAUCUCCAUGAGAUGGCAAAAGUUGCCACCAAUGCCGGCAAUUGCGGUCAAUGAUGAACCUAGAAGUGGUUUAUCUGGACUUCGGGCAUGGAACAUGGCAGGUUCAAGUAUGAGAAUUGCUGAUGCCAUAAGGGGUUGGCUUGGAAGGAAAAGUGCUCUGGAUCAAGUUCCAUUUUGUGGUUGUGCUAUUGGAGCUGUCGAUGGAUGCCUCUAUGCCCUUGGGGGAUUCUUCAGAGCUGCAGCCAUGAGAUCUGUCUGGCGAUAUGACCCCAUUGUAAAUGCUUGGAAUGAAGUAAGUCCUAUGUCUACUGCAAGAGCUUAUUGCAAGACAGGUGUCUUGAAUGGAAAGCUUUAUGUAGUAGGAGGUGUUACUCGGGAUCGUG